rnacentral:rRNA from 1 species
CAGUCGCCGCGGUAAUACGUAGGUGGCAAGCGUUGUCCGGAAUUAUUGGGCGUAAAGGGCUCGCAGGCAGUUUCUUAAGCCUGAUGUGAAAGCCCCCGGCUCAACCGGGGAGGGUCAUUGGAAACUGGGAAACUUGAGUGCAGAAGAGGAGAGUGGAAUUCCACGUGUAGCGGUGAAAUGCGUAGAGAUGUGGAGGAACACCAGUGGCGAAGGCGACUCUCUGGUCUGUAACUGACGCUGAGGAGCGAAAGCGUGGGGAGCGAACAGGAUUAGAUACCCCAGUAGUCCCUGUCUCUUAUAA